rnacentral:lncRNA from 1 species
CCAAUGCAAACAGUCCAUGCCCAGGAGGAACAAAUGGUAGUCCAAUGGCCCAAACCAAAGGAGCAUGCAGAUCAAUGUCUUCCCAAACCUCCGAAUAAGGUAGAGUUUAUUUUGCCUGAAUUCAGUACUAAAUUGCAGCUAGCCAUAGAGAAACAUGAAUUGGAGUUCAAAGUUCUUCCCAAUCAUCUAAAAAAUGCAAACAUAAGGGCUAGAGGCACAUCUCAUCUGAAAGAGGAGAAGCUAAUCAUGUUACUUCAUGAGUACAUGGAAAAAGUAGGAUGGGCUAUGACAAAAUCAAAAGGAGUGCUACACUUUUUGCUCAAUGCACUAAUCAUGUUACUUCAUGAGUACAUGGAAAAAGUAGGAUGGGCUAUGACAAAAUCAAAAGGAGUGCUACACUUUUUGCUCAAUGCAGUUGGGACUCUUUUCCCUUCCCCAAUUACUUGAGCCUUGAUCAAGUGGAUCGCACCAUGUACACCACACCCAGGGGAGUACUCAGUUUCCUUUGUUCUUUUAUGUUUUUUUACACAUUGAGGACAAUGCAUGAUUUAGGUGUGGGGGUGCAUAUUUCUGAAUUUUUAAAUUUUUGUUUUGAUUUUCAGUUUGAAUUUUUAUUUUCAUUUUUCAGUGUGAUUUUCAAUUUUUCAUUUUGCUUUCAAUAACACACACAGAUAGCCACAGUUUUUUUUUAUUCUCCGUUUUUGAGAUUCUUUACUCAUCAUAUCAACUAUGUUGGAUGAGCUUUUCUUUCCCUGACCCCAUUGAUGUGAUAACUCUUUAAACUUAUAUUGAAUCAAUUGCAGUGGGUUAUAUUCAUGUUUGAGAAUUGCCUUUUGAAUUGAAUCUUUGAGUUUGCCAUGGUGAAAAAUAUAUUGAUGACCCUCAAUUGAUGAGAAUAAAUUGAAAAUUAUGUGAAUGAACUUAAUAUGACCUGAUUUAGCAAUUGGUGUUGAUUUGCCCAAAUCAUUGAGAGAAAGAAAAUUCAGCAAAGGCAAAGACCUCAAAAGCACAAAUUGAAAAUUGUUCCAAUAGUCAAAAGACUAUGAACAAGGCAAGUAGCCACUUGGAUAGGUGACCAACUGAAAAAUAUAAACCUUCAAAUCAAAAAUAGGUUGGUN